GGGGGCGCCACGGUCUCGACGGGGAUCAUUGAGGUAAGGGCUGCGUACCGAGGUUCCGACUGGGCUCGUAAAAAAAGUCGGAAAAUGAUAAGCGGAAACAGCAACUACGCUUACGCUACUGCAUAGCCAGUAGCCGUUCCGCCGGCCGCCUCCCGUAAGGCCGGGCCGGGGCGUCGACACAACGGGAUAGUCUCCCGCCCACGCUUAUAAGCGGGAAGCGAAACUUAAUAAGCUGGUUCCAUCCGAAUCCUGCCGCUGGGAGUCGGAGGGGACGAGAUUCAAAACAACGGCUACGUACGUAGAUGCUCCUUGCCGAAGGUUUCCGGACGCGGGUUCGACUCCCGCCGCCUCCACCA
rnacentral:tmRNA from 1 species